UGGGGAAUAUUGCACAAUGGGCGCAAGCCUGAUGCAGCCAUGCCGCGUGUAUGAAGAAGGCCUUCGGGUUGUAAAGUACUUUCAGCGGGGAGGAAGGGAGUAAAGUUAAUACCUUUGCUCAUUGACGUUACCCGCAGAAGAAGCACCGGCUAACUCCGUGCCAGCAGCCGCGGUAAUACGGAGGGUGCAAGCGUUAAUCGGAAUUACUGGGCGUAAAGCGCACGCAGGCGGUUUGUUAAGUCAGAUGUGAAAUCCCCGGGCUCAACCUGGGAACUGCAUCUGAUACUGGCAAGCUUGAGUCUCGUAGAGGGGGGUAGAAUUCCAGGUGUAGCGGUGAAAUGCGUAGGGAUCUGGAGGAAUACCGGUGGCGAAGGCGGCCCCCUGGACGAAGACUGACGCUCAGGUGCGAAAGCGUGGGGGGCAAACAGG
rnacentral:rRNA from 1 species